rnacentral:ncRNA from 1 species
AAAAACGCGAAGAACGGACUUAGUAUCAUUCAGUGUUCUUUAAGAGAGUCAGUGGCUGCUGAGAACUGACAGAAGCUGAGUGAGAAUCCAUCCCGGAGCGGCUGGUGAUGAAUCAGUACGGUACCUCUCCGUUACGGAGGUCGAGCCGGAAGAGUGUAUGCUCUUCAAUCGGGGUGGUAUCGCGGGAAGCUAGACUCUCGUCCCUUUU